CCUACGGGAGGCUGCAGUCGAGAAUCAUUCACAAUGGGGGAAACCCUGAUGGUGCGACGCCGCGUGGGGGAAUGAAGGUCUUCGGAUUGUAAACCCCUGUCAUGUGGGAGCAAAUUAAAAAGAUAGUACCACAAGAGGAAGAGACGGCUAACUCUGUGCCAGCAGCCGCGGUAAUACAGAGGUCUCAAGCGUUGUUCGGAAUCACGGGGCGUAAGGCGUGCGUAGGCUGUUUCGUAAGUCGUGUGUGAAAGGCGCGGGCUCAACCCGCGGACGGCACAUGAUACUGCGAGACUAGAGUAAUGGAGGGGGAACCGGAAUUCUCGGUGUAGCAGUGAAAUGCGUAGAUAUCGAGAGGAACACUCGUGGCGAAGGCGGGUUCCUGGACAUUAACUGACGCUGAGGCACGAAGGCCAGGGGAGCGAAAGGGAUUAGAUACCCUAGUAGUC
rnacentral:rRNA from 1 species